rnacentral:lncRNA from 10 species
ACUGCGCGGCACCGGGACGCCCGCCCGGCUUCCCGCUCCCCGCCCUGGCCCGCGCCCCUCUCCCUCCUAGGAGCUGGAGACCUGCAGGCAGGGGCAGGGGACCCGGUCCUCUGCAGAACCCGAGCUCAGGGUUGCGUUAGACCCACUCCGGGGCGCACGGUCUUCAGCGGAGGGACGGCGGGGUGCGAAGGACCGAGGCGCCCCUGCUCGGGUGGCAGCCGAUCGCCGCCUCCCGCAUCCCCCGGCUGCCUCCCCCGUCCGGUCCUACCCUCCUCCCUGCCCGCGAAGGGAGAACAAUAACCCGAGCGCGCCUGGGAAGCGGAGACACUGGGAGGCGGGCAGACAAUGCGAGGGAGUUGCGAGGGGGCAGCCCCAGCGCACCGCGCGUUCUCGCUGUGUCCCAGCCGCGCCCGAGGGCUUGGCCUGGGGCAAGCGGGCCGCGGGGGCGCAGUAAGAGGCUACGUGGAAGAUAAUUUAGGUCUCUUGAAAUCUAAAAUCUCACAGCGUCUGUUCAAGGCCGGGGAGAAUUUCCUCCAGUCUAGAUAGAACAUCAGCAGUUGGUUAAAAUACACACAGACAUGUGUGUAUUUGGGUCCUUUUCUAUUUUGGAUCUGAAUCUCUAAAGUCACUUUUGGAAUUUCCAUAAGCCUGUCUUUUUGUAAACAGAUUUUUCUGGGAUUCCCCCACCCCGACUCCUGUCUUGCGCUGCUUGUUCUUCCAGCUUGACCCUGUCCAGGUAUCCCUCCCUCUCUCCCUCCCUCCUUCUUUUCCUCCUUCCCUCUCUCCCUACACACAUACAUUUGCCCCAGUUUGCACCUUUUUUUUUUUUUUUUUUUUUUUUGGUGCUGCAAUUCUUUCUCCCUUUUGAUUGGCGCUUUCUUUGGGUUCUUCUGCCCUUUUCGAAGUGCUGGUUUUAUUUCCAUCCCUCUCAUAAUUUGUUUUCUCCAAUUCAUUUCCUCUUUUUUUUUUUUGUCACAAGUAACUGUAUCUGCAUGAUUUUUUCUUCCUACUGCCAUAAGUUCUGUUCCCUUAAGGGCUCAAGCGUUCCUGGGGUAGGGAGGGGACAAGAGAAUUUCAUUGCAUUUUAUCUGAGGGAAAUAAUGUGUUGUAGUUCCACUUUCAGGGAGUCGGGGAUACUGGGAUUUUAUACUUACAUAUGGGUCAAACCGUCUUAGCUGAAUAAAUCACAAACCUCUGUAAUAUCUAGGGUGCUUGGGUGCUUGCUUACAAUAAAAAAGGCAUGCAGGAAAAGCGGCGGUGGGGGGGGAAGUAUUUUCAAAUUAGGUCUCUAAAUAGGGAUUUUACAACAUCCGUUUAUUAUUAUUAUCAUAUUAUUAUUAUUUAGAAAUGGGAUCUCACCAUGUUGCUCAGGCCGGUCUCCAACACCUGGCCUUAAGGGAGCCUCCCAACUUGGCCUCCCAAAAGUGCUGGUAUUACAGGUGUGAGCCAGCAUGCCACCCUCCACUUAUCUUAAAGUAAAAUUUUGAUUAUAUAGUAUGUGAAAGAGACUGGCAUCUUUCAUUCACCCAUGAAGUGCCAUCUCCUUGGUCUCAUUUUUUUGCAUUUGUCCUCAUCUGCGGAAUGUCUGGCCACUUUGCUGUUUCCUCUGGGUGUGGUUUAGAGUACAAAGUACAACCCUUUAUCAACCAAGCAAAUCAGAAAUAGCUCCUAGAUGUGGGACGUGAGAAAAAAAUCAGGCAAAAGAAUGGUUAACAUUUUAACAAAAAGCAUGCUGUUUGUGGCUGAAAUAUUUGGAGGUAAGAAGGUGUGUGAGUGGUCCCAGGGUGAGGGGGCGAGGUAGGAGUGGGGGUUGUGCAAUUAUGAUAAAUAUCUAGGAGGCAGUUCUCUUUGCCAGGGCUGACCCCCAGGUUGGGCGGGGCCUGGACAUAGCACAGAUCACGUUUCUCCGCAAGUGAUACCAGAUAGAAAUGAAUGUGGUGCAGCCAUGACAGAAAAACCUACAACCAGUGGCAGCAAUGACAACAUGCAGAGAUGAGGAAGAGUUGUCCAGCUGAGGAGAGAGAAGUGCAGGGUAACUGACAGUGCACAACCAAAUUUUCAGGAAUUUGGAAAUGUGUCAUGAGCACACAAAAGACACUGGAUUUAAACAAAUGUGAGUUAUCAUAUGGUGUGGACUAAAACCAUGUGAAACCAAGAGCAAUAGCAUUAAGAUGGAUGAUGAGGAGCAAGGGAAAAUGGAAAUGGCGAGACUGUGGCCAGUGUUAGGCCGACAUUGCAGCAGAUCUACAUUCCGCCGUGAGAACAGACAUGGGGACAAAAGCCCAGACCUGGUUGGAACUCCAAUAUGGUGCUGGUAGCCAGCUGUGACCAAGAAGAGGACAACCGGAGCAACAAUCUUAGACACAAGGAUGGAAGCUGUAAGGCAGGGGAGGAGUUCCAGGGUCCCUGGAGAACUUCAUGGAGCUGAGGACGUCCUUCCUGUUUUGUAGUGUUGCAUGAGAGAGGAAUAACAUUCUAUAUUAUUUGGCUGGGCGCGGUGGCUCAUGCCUGUAAUCCCAGCACUUUGGGAGGCCGAGGUGGGCGGAUCAACUGAGGUCAGGAGUUCAAGACUAGCCUGGCCAACAUGGCAAAACCCCGUCUCUACUAAAAAAUACAAAAAUUAGCCGAGCGUGGUAGAGCAUGCCUGUAAUCCCAGCUACGCAGGAGGCUGAGGCAGGAGAAUCACUUGAACCCUGGAGGCAGAGGUUGCAGUGAGCCGAGAUAGUGCCACUGCACUCCAGCCUGGGUGACAGAAUGAGACUCUCAAAAAAAAAAAAAACACCUGUAUUAGUUAAGCCCUGUCAUAUCGGAUCUUUUUGUCACAGCAGCUAGUUUAUGCUGUAGCUAAACCACUGCGCUUCUGUCUUGUUCUGAUAAUCUAGGUCUCCACCUACCCAUAAAUCCCCCCUACAGCCUGUGCCUGGGUCCUGGUAUCCUGCUGACCUACAAAUAUCUUCCUGGAUUCCUGAAUAUCACCACCUCCAGGAUUAUUGAGCCCCACGCUCUGUCUGUUGGGACACUUCCACUACUCUGUGUGGAGCUGCCUUAUGCAGACUGCUGGCACUACCAGAGUUUGCCUGCCACCACACCCUUCAGAUUGUCAGGCUCUAGCUUCGCUGUCCCUUCAGCUGGCUUUGUCUCCCUGGAGUCUCCCCACUCCAGAUAGAAAGUUGGCCUUGAGGCCCUAACUCUUUCUUGUCCAUCCUGUCCUGCAGCAAUUAACUAGGCCCCUCCUGGCUAUGUCCUGAGUUAUAUAGGGAAAGGUUUGCCUGGCUCCUCACAGGAAGCAUACCAUGGAAGUACAAAUCCCUACCCCCAAUACCUUCCCUGGCUUACCCUGAAGCUGAGUAGAAUUUCUGCUCGCAGUGUCAAACCAGCUGGUGACUAUAUAGGGCUUUUUCAAUAGAGAUACAUUUCAUUCUUUGCUAGCUUACACUUAUGUUUGUUUUCCUUCCUGCAACUUUACGGCGGACAUCAGAUACUGAUGUUUGCCUGAGGAUGUGUACUGCUUCAGGAACACAAAUUUCACAUUUGGAAUGUGCACAAGUCUAACUUCAGGUUAACAAUCACCUGUGCUCAUAGUAAGAAAUGCUUUUGAUUAACACCGGGGUGUGGAACAAAACUCAUCUGGAAUCCUAGAUUAGGCAACUACUAUUUAUUUAUGCAAAACAGUAAAGUCAUUAGAGCCCCCAUUCCUGGUAAUUGUCUCAGAAAAUGCAUUCCCUGGCCUCACAAUUCGUUUUAUACAAAGCAAGAAGUUAUUUGGGUUAAUAACCUUGAGUUUUAAUGACUCAAUCAAUAUUUUGGUUUCUGCAGGCUGCUUUGCUACUGUAAAUUUUGAGUACAGUGCUUGUGGAGUAUAUAAAUAUUUAGCUAGUCAUUGAAGCAUCAGUUAAUGAAAUAAUUUAAUCUUUUCUUUAAUUUAGAAAAUACUGUUGGCAAUGAACUGGUAUGAGGUGUUUAUUUCAGCUGCUCUCAUAGACUGGGAAACCAAAUUGCUGCUGUGCUGUAUGGUUUAUUACUUUGUCACAUUGCAAAUCCAUACUGCAAGUAUCUCUUUUAGAUUAAUCUCCUUCAAAUAGAUCUUGAAUAACCUAGUCACUUGCCUCAGAUGGUUUUAUCCUGAUUUUAAAUUUACAACCAUGCUUCUCUGUCUGUUUUAAGAUUUGCAGUAUUGUGUGUUUGUGUGUGCAGUAAAUUUACACAUGUACUAGGAAUCACAACCAGGACUGAUUACAGAUUUCUUCCUUUUAGAAUGUGAUGACUUUGAAAAAGAAAAACCUAUAUAUUCAGAGUUCAAAUACCAAAUAUAGCUUUCAAAUACCAAAAUGGCCAUGUGAAGCUUUCUUUCAACUGGUUAUUUUGUCUGAAUCAAAGCUUCCAAAAAUGUGUUCCUCGGCAUACAUAUUCUUGGGAUGCUAAAAGGAUUCUACUUUGUUUCUGUUUGGAAAUUCAAAUGAAAACAAAAAAGAUUAUACAAUCCAGUUAUUAGUCUCUUCACUAGCCACAGGGAAUCUUGAGGUUGAAGGAUUGUACAUACUUAGUCCUUUAUUUUUCAAGCUGAAUUAUUAGGAGGGAUUGUCUUGGUCUGUUUUGUGCUGCUUGAACAGAAUACCACAUACUAGAUAAUUCAUAAUGAACAGAAAUUCAUUGGCUCACCGUUCUGGGGGCUGGGAAGUCCAAGAUAGAGGGGCCAGUGUCUUAUGAGGGCCUUCUUGCUAUGUCAUCCCAUGGCAGAAGGGCAAAGGAGGGUGGGGAACUCAUCCUUGUAUAAGGAAUCCACUCCUGAGAUAACAAAAUUAAUCCAUUCAUAAGGGCAAUGUCCCCAUGACCCAAACAUCUUCCACUAGGCCCCACCUCCCAACACCACUGCAUUGGGGAUCAAGAUUGCAACACUCAAGAACUUUGGGGGACAUAUUCAAAUGAUAGCAGAGCUUUAGCUCUUUAACAGUGACCUAGAAAAUAACUACCAAUGAUUGCAAGUUUUUCUAAUACGUGAUUGGUUGGUGCCAGCUCUUGGUAGUAAAAUUGAAUCAGUAGAAUCAGCAAAUAGUUCCAAAGGUUUUUACUGAAAAAAAAAAGCUCUGACUUUUUAAAUCAGGGACUUUGAAUAUCAACUGAGUAUUAGAUUAUAUUAAGGAACUAUUUCAAUCUUGACGGAUGUGAUAAGGACACCUUAUGUAAGAAGAUCGCCCCAUUGUUAGAUGCAUACUCUGUACAAUAACAUAUGCUGUCUGAAACUUCAUUGAAGAUACUUCAGGAAAAAGAAGUGACUAUAGAUAAAACAAAUAGGACAGAAUAGUAAUGGUUAGUGAUGGCUGGUGAAACUCGGUGAUGAGUCCAAAAUGCUCUUAUAUUCCCCAGUUUUAUUUAUACUCAAUUUUCAUAAUACAAAAUAGAAAAGAGUUCUGUGGUCAAAUAAGCUUUGAGAAACCCUGGUUUUAAUAAAAUUAAUUUAGGCAUUUUUUUUUUUUUUUUACCGUAUGCCUUUUUAUGUAUAUGUAACUGUGUGUGUAAAUCUUUUAAUUUUCUCUUUGAUUAAAAGAAAACUUUUUUUAAAGACUGAUAUUCUGCCAAAUAUGCUAACUAACUCUAGGAAUGACUGCAUUCUACCUAACAACCAGUUUGGAUUGAAUUGCCUGCACUGACCACUACUGGACUGCAUGAUCAAAACAGGUGGCUUAUGCUUUUUUUUUUCCCCAUCUCUCUAUUUCAGUCAUAGGCAGCAGAUCCCUGUGGAUGAGCUUCAACUUCAGGGAGGUCAGCCACUUACUAGCUCUCUAAUCCAGGCGAGUCAUUAAACCUCUCUGCCCCUCAGUUCCUUCAUCUGUAAAAAGGGAUAACAAUAUUACCUACUUCACAGGAUUACCAUAUAGAAUAAAUGAGAUAACACCUGCAAAGCAUUUCACAUCCUUCUUGGAACACGGUAAGUCCUCAAUAAAAUCUGGAAUUAAAGAAUUAAACUCAUUCUUUAAAGGCCAGCUUACAUAAUAUGUGUAAUGGAACUUUCUGAGUUUCCUCUACUCAGGAUUAAUUCCUUUAUCUUCUGCAUUCUGGCAGUUCUAUACCUCUAUAUGUAUGAUUUAAUUGUAAAUGUCUCAAGGAUAGGGACCAUGUCUUAUUCAUCUCAGUAUCACUCCAGCAUUCUAAUACAGGCUAUCAAGCCCCAAUGGAUAAAAAAGAGGGUGGGGGGUCAUCUUGGCAAUUCAGCUUCCUUUAAUCCUUGAAAGACCCAUACAAUACCACUUACCUACCAAUGCACAACCACAUCUAGCUGCAAGAGAGGCUAAGAAAUGUAGUCUUUAUUCUAUACAUUGAAGCAACACCCUAUCUAUCUAUCUAUCUAUCUAUCUAUCUAUCUAUCUAUCUAUCUAAGAUGAAGCCAAAGGAUCAAGACUAGUUCUGUAAAGAGUACAUUGCCUGCUUUCAGUGACUCUUUCUGCCUUUAAUAUACUGAUUUCGGGAUAAGAAAACAACAGCUUCCUGAUAUUAUAAAUAUCGUUGAGCUUUUGUCAUACUAGGAAAUACCUUUGUAUUGACACACUCAAAUACUAUUCAGAAAAAAAGCCUUCAAAUCCAGAAAAGAAAUAACAUAAGUGCCUCUGUAGCAGUAACGUCCCCACUGAGGCACAGCAAGCUCAAACACUGAGCAUUUUGACAGGAAAACACGCAGAUAUUUACUUUGGCAACAGAUAGAUUUCACAGUUAUUACUUCCCAGGUCUAAGCUAUAUAGUCAUACGUCUUCCAAAAGAACACACAGACAGCAAUAUAAAACCCUGGCUUUAAUCAAAUUAUACCUGUUUCUUUAGUGUGAGCAAAGCUCUCUGCCAAUACAUAAGCAUCUUUUCAUUUGGUUUGCCUGAUGUGGCAUAUGAGUGAGAAAUCAGGUUAAUCCAGUAGUGAGGACAUACCAAUAACAGAGACCUGAUCUCAAUAAGCUUUUGGCAGGGAAAGCUUUAUAGCGUAUCUGUUCCUUUCUAGUUGAGGUAGAAAGGAGUUCAUACAACCAAGAGUGCAGAGCUCUUCAGUUCUCAUGGGAAUGGCUAACUGAUUCAUGGUGCAUAACAAAAAAUCUGCAGAUGACCUAAACCAUCAUACUGACUGUCAGAUUACAUUUUCUUCUUUGAUAAUAUUUUACCCAAAUGACUAACAAGUAUACACAAUGACUACUUGUGUAUUUUUCCUUUGUCUCACUUCCCUUAUCACUUAGGACAUUUCUUCUUAUUGAAAUUAAUCAACAAAUAUUAAUAGAGACAUUUAAUUAACAGUAAUUGAAGCAUUUGCUGUGCAAUGUAAGAAACACAAACUAUAUAAAGGCACUGCCCUCACUGAAUUUAGUUUACAAUUCAAUUGAUUUUAUUUGGAGUUUUUGUUCAUUUUUUAACCCAAAUUGUGGCAUAUUAUAUAACUACUGUGUACCUUGCUUUUUUUCACCUAAUGCCUCUUGGAAAGGGUUUCAUAUUAUUAUAGAAAUAUGGAAUACAUGGGACUAUGGGAUAUUCCUACGACAAGAGUAUAAAAUAUUCCAUAUAUAGGAGUAUGGAAAAUUCCAUUUACAGAAAUGUGGAAUUCAAAAGAAUAGAACUGCCUUAUUAGCCUUUUUAAACAGCUACAUAAUAUUUCAUUGUAUGAAAAUAACAUAAUUUACUUAAGUCCUUAAAUAAUGCACAUUAAAUCUUUUGCUGUUACAAAUAACGCCGCAAUGAAUAACUUUGUACAUUCGCUACUUCCCAC